rnacentral:rRNA from 1 species
UACUAUACCAGUAAAUAUAAUUACCUGAAUUAUUAAUAGAUAUUUUCUUUAAACUUGAAGAAUUUGGCGGUAGUUUAGUCUUGUUGGAGGAACCUGUUUUUUAAUCGAUACUCCACGUGGAAUUUUACUUACUUUAUUAGUUUAUAUACCGUCAUUAUCAGAUAAUUUUAAAAAACAAUUAUUAAAGUUUAAAAAUGUUAAGCUAAAUUAGAUCAAGGUGUAGCUUAUGAGUAAGUUAGAAUGGGUUACAAUAAGUUUUAUUUAAUACGGAAUGGUUAUAUAUGAAAGUAUACCACGAAGGAGGAUUCAAUUGUAAUGUGAGUUUAAUAAGCUCGGGAGAUAUAAGCUCUAAACUAU